rnacentral:rRNA from 1 species
UACGUAGGGUGCAAGCGUUGUCCGGAAUUAUUGGGCGUAAAGAGCUCGUAGGCGGUUCGUCGCGUCGGCUGUGAAAACCCGGAGCUCAACUCCGGGCCUGCAGUCGAUACGGGCAGACUAGAGGUAUGCAGGGGAGAAUGGAAUUCCUGGUGUAGCGGUGAAAUGCGCAGAUAUCAGGAGGAACACCAGUGGCGAAGGCGGUUCUCUGGGCAUUACCUGACGCUGAGGAGCGAAAGUGUGGGGAGCGAACAGG